rnacentral:rRNA from 1 species
AUUGAACGCUGGCGGCAGGCCUAACACAUGCAAGUCGAGCGGAUGCAGGGAGCUUGCUCCUGGAUUCAGCGGCGGACGGGUGAGUAAUGCCUAGGAAUCUGCCUGGUCGUGGGGGAUAACGUCCGGAAACGGGCGCUAAUACCGCAUACGUCCUGAGGGAGAAAGUGGGGGAUCUUCGGACCUCACGCUAUCAGAUGAGCCUAGGUCGGAUUAGCUAGUUGGUGGGGUAAAGGCCUACCAAGGCGACGAUCCGUAACUGGUCUGAGAGGAUGAUCAGUCACACGGGAACUGAGACACGGUCCAGACUCCUACGGGAGGCAGCAGUGGGGAAUAUUGGACAAUGGGCGAAAGCCUGAUCCAGCCAUGCCGCGUGUGUGAAGAAGGUCUUCGGAUUGUAAAGCACUUUAAGUUGGGAGGAAGGGCAGUAAGUUAAUACCUGGCUGUUUUGACGUUACCAACAGAAUAAGCACCGGCUAACUUCGUG